rnacentral:rRNA from 1 species
UGGGGAAUUUUGGACGAAUUGGGCGCAAGCCUGAUCCAGCCAUGCCGCGUGCGGGAAGAAGGCCUUCGGGUUGUAAACCGCUUUUGUCAGGGAAGAAAUCUUCUGAGUUAAUACCUCGGGAGGAUGACGGUACCUGAAGAAUAAGCACCGGCUAACUACGUGCCAGCAGCCGCGGUAAUACGUAGGGUGCAAGCGUUAAUCGGAAUUACUGGGCGUAAAGCGUGCGCAGGCGGUUUUGUAAGACAGAGGUGAAAUCCCCGGGCUCAACCUGGGAACUGCCUUUGUGACUGCAAGGCUUGAGUGCGGCAGAGGGGAUGGAAUUCCGCGUGUAGCAGUGAAAUGCGUAGAUAUGCGGAGGAACACCGAUGGCGAAGGCAAUCCCCUGGGCCUGCACUGACGCUCAUGCACGAAAGCGUGGGGAGCAAACAGGAUUAGAUACCCUGGUAGUCCACGCCCUAAACGAUGUCAACUGGUUGUUGGGAAGGUUCCUUCUCAGUAACGUAGCUAACGCGUGAAGUUGACCGCCUGGGGAGUACGGCCGCAAGGUUGAAACUCAAAUGAAUUGAC